GAAUAUCUUGUUUAACAUAAGCAUCACACUGCUGCAGCCUUCCCUGGUAACAAAAUGUUUGUCCUAAAGUUUAGUGGACAUUAUUUCUUCUGCAUUAAUUCUACAUUAUUUCUUCUGUAUUAAUUCCACAGAUACAAGGGUUCAAAAUUCUGGAACAUUACAUCCUAUAACAUGCUCGACUAACAAGCAUGGUCAUUCAGAUAUACAUGUAAUUAAGAUCACUGACUAAAUCAAGUCUCUUUUAUAUUGAAGCAAUGGUGUGUCAACUAUGGUCAAAGUUUGUUACAUGAACGCCGACUUGAUACAGUUUCUGCUUCAUGAGAAAUUAAAGUAUCACAGGAUGUCAGAACAAGCAAUGCACAUGCGCCCUAUGACCUUAAUUAGCCGACUUAUGACUUUAUUUCAGGCAAGUUAGUACAGCUGUAGCAGAUGUGAGAACGAUUUUGCACCAUUAUUUUUGUUUUCUGUUUCAGUAAACAUUAAUCCACUUUUAAAAAAUGCUGGGAUUUGGUUGAGAAUAUGAGAAAAAAAUCAAAAUUUGGGUCAAACUGCAGAGACCAAAAAUAUUGUUUCGCUACAUCAACAUAUAAAGCAAAAAAUGCUCAGAGUACAAAUAUGAGAAUAAAAAGCUCCCAGCAAUAUGAAAUGUAAAUAGAGCCAAG
rnacentral:lncRNA from 1 species